UAUUCUGCCCUACAGGGAAAGAUGAGAAGCUUCGACUAAGGUUCGACUCGAGCGAAGCGAGAGAACGUUGCCGCAGGCAAUGGCCCGAAGGCGAGGCGCUUUAGCGCCGAGUAAUCCUUCCCCCACCACUG
rnacentral:sRNA from 1 species